UACAACUAUGGUGUCAUUAAGACUUCUCUU
rnacentral:piRNA from 1 species